UACGGAGGGGGCUAGCGUUGUUCGGAAUUACUGGGCGUAAAGCGCACGUAGGCGGCUUUACAAGUUAGAGGUGAAAGCCCGGGGCUCAACUCCGGAAUUGCCUUUAAAACUGCAUCGCUAGAAUUGUGGAGAGGUAAGUGGAAUUCCGAGUGUAGAGGUGAAAUUCGUAGAUAUUCGGAAGAACACCAGUGGCGAAGGCGACUUACUGGACACAUAUUGACGCUGAGGUGCGAAAGCGUGGGGAGCAAACAGG
rnacentral:rRNA from 1 species